rnacentral:rRNA from 1 species
UACGGAGGGUGCAAGCGUUAUCCGGAUUCACUGGGUUUAAAGGGCGCGUAGGCGGUGCGGUAAGUCACCUGUGAAACCUCUAGGCUCAACCUAGAGCCUGCAGGCGAAACUGCCGUGCUUGAGGGUGGGAGAGGUGCGUGGAAUUCCCGGUGUAGCAGUGAAAUGCGUAGAGAUCGGGAGGAACAUCUGUGGCGAAGGCGGCCAUCUGGACCAGCACUGACACUGAGGCACGAAAGCGUGGGGAGCAAACAGG